AAGAAAUUAGUUAAAUUAUAACAUUAAUAUGUCAUAUUAAAAUUAUUACUACUUAUUAAUAUUUCUUA
rnacentral:tRNA from 1 species